GGAUGUGAGGAUGAUCUGGGUACAUUUGUCACUUCAUUGAUCAGCCAGAUAGCUUCAGCUGAUCUGGCUGGUUAGACAGGUACCCCCUUCGUCCAUUACUACUCAGUGUAUGUUCCUCCCUGUGCUGUUUGUUCAGUUGUACAAGGUGACCUUCCUACAUAAGAAAGGGACAUCUUUAGUCAAGAGUAUACAAGUACUCGUGCUUCAUUGGUAGAACCUCCCAGUUCUCAAAGGCUGUGACCUUUACCCUCUAGCUAGGCCUCACCUGUCAAAGUUUCCCAAACAGUGCCACCAGUU
ensembl:misc_RNA 7SK 7SK RNA